AGAUCCAGAAGGAGAUGGAGGUGGAGAGAGAUGAGGCAUAUGUGUAUACAUAUGUUUGUGUAUGAGAGAGAGUGGAAGUGGGUAUGAAGUCACAAAACUCAGCUGCUGUUGGCUGUGGUGGAGGACGAGAACACGGCACAGGAGAACAGGAGAGAGAUGGCAGACAUUUUACUGAAUGCCCUGACGGACAGACAGCAGCACAGACAGACAUGGAGGGACAGAUGCCAGUCAAGCUUGGCACAGACCUUGCCCCCUGAGGAAGCGCCUGUCGACCGACCCUAUUGGAGUAAUGAAGAUCCUGACAUGCCCCUCCCCUUUGACCUCUCUGAAAUCAUCAACCGCGUUGAGUCGCUUCUCUGGAGGAUGUGAGGUGAAAUGGAGAGAAAGAAUGUUAUGAGGUGGAUGUUAAGAGAUAGAGGCCGGGAUGGAGAUCACAGGUGACAAAAAAAAACCAAAAAACAAUACAACACACCUGUUUAGUUUCUCCUUGCUUCCUUGCUUGAAGACCAACAUUCAUCGUCAAACACACCACAUUGAGAUCCACUCGGAUGUAUGGACAGAUUUAAGGAUGGAUACAGGGUGACAUCUGGACGGGACAUUUUAUUUCCUAUUUCCAUCAGUAUCGUUUACUAUCACUUUAACAGAGUCUGUAGUGUUACAAUGACAAUGCAUAGACACAUAUCAGUAGUAGCAUAUGAUACCUAUCCAUAAAUAUAGCUAUAUAUAUCCAUUAAUGUAUGUAGUUGAGUUCUCCAUAUAUCCUCUGAAGCUUUUAUUUUUAUUUUGGACAGACAUUAUGUAGAUGUAUACACAGUUCACUUCUCCUCUAUGCGUGUGUGUUUGUCUGUGUGCCAUCUUUUUAGGGGGAAAGUCGGUAAAAAUGAAAUAUGACAUUGUGGGGGUGUAUGACAUCAUCAUUAAGGGGUGUCAUAUGCGUGCCGUUGCCUUUCACCUGGCGUAUUGUCUAGGGAUUUAGUGUGUUUGAAUUUGCCCUAAGUGUGUUUGAAUGUUUGCGUGUGCACGUCCAUCUGACUGUUUGUAGGGAGAAGGUAAAGUAAAAGUUGUUAGACUGACUUUGUCGGUGAUGUUCGUCUAUAUUAGGUGCAUGUAGGUACGAGGCACGCACAUGUGUAUGUAAUCUUUUAGACGGUUUUAUUUCUGUGUGACUGAAUAUGAAUGUGUGUGUAUGUGUACAUAAGAUGUUUCUCUCCCAAGCCGAGUAGUGUCGAUAGGCAGCUCUUGCUGAGCUCUCCAAGAGAACUUACACCCCUUGCGUCGCAUAAUUCUCGCAGCUCAUUGGCUCCUAACCUUUUAAUAAUGCCUGCCUAUGUCUGAAAUGCUGCCAGUUUCGGGAGGAAUGCACUCAAACAUCGUUAAACAAUUGAAGGAUGAAGAAAAGCACUCUGAUGUCCUCUAAACGAAUGAAGGAUGAAUGAAAAAGGGAUAACUGUUGAAGUCCAGCAGCUUUCUUUUUAUGUUUAUGUUUUUCUAUGUCAUCAGUGUUAAUGCAGAAGAUCCAUAUUAUAGUAUUCGAUGAAGAUGCUUAAAUGUGUUUUUUACCUUUGAAGUUUUAGAGUUGUCAUUGGUUGCCAAAUAUUGUGUUCUUGCUGAGUAAAUGCUGUGAGGUUGGUAUUUAAAUAUAAAUAUAUAUAUAUAAUCUUUCUUUCAUUGUGUUUAUUUUUUCUUUUUUCUUUUUUCCUGUAUUCUUUCUCCGGAGUAC